GCCAGGAUGGAACACUCGAAUUAAAAAUAGGUCUAUCUGGCCAUUCAACAACCAGAGAUUGUCCCAUUUUCUUGUUUUUCUGAAUUCUGAGUAAGGAUCCUUUCCUCGUUUGGUAUUCUGUUAUGAAUGUUAGGUUAGUUUUCUUUGCCUCGUAUGCAAUUCAUAAUAAAUUUUUAGGUGAAUAUAGCUGGCCUGUUGGUUGGCGUUGUUCAGUACGACUGGUGCUCUUGAUUUGAGAAGACUCUAUAACAUUGGCAACAAGACAAUUGGAAUGGUUCCUCCUCUGCUAAGUUCCAUAUGUCAUGGACAUUAAUAGCAAUAUACUCGAGCGCAUCAUCUUUGAGAACAAUGAAAACAAGCCUUCCCUGCAUAGGUUAAGCAGAACUUAAAAUGACACUGACAAGAUUACCUGAGAAGCUCAACUGAACCCCCAAAGUUUCAAUAGGCUUACAUAGAAGCUAUAAUGCUCUUCCAUUUAUUGGAGGUAAAUGUACAAGGAUUUGGUAGCCCACGUCAUGCCUGUGUCUUCAGGUUCAAUAGAGCAUAAUAUACAACUGUUGAUUAUAGGGCAGAUGCAACUUCUUUCCAAUCCUUUGUUUUCCCAUAAUUGAUGAAUUUAUCAUAACUACUUGGUUGUUCAUGGACACGUUGUUACUCCCGAAAAUUGACGCUUUGUUCAACCUGCCACCUUGUUGUGUGGUGAUGUAGCCGUGAAGUUACUGGCUGGAGUGUGUCAUCAGAUAGAUUCAGGAGCAGUGUUUCAUCAAGAGGGAAAGGAGAUUUAUAGAAUGUUAAUCUGGGAGCAUGACACGGAAAUGUAACAUCCAGACCAAACUUUGAAUGUUCGGCACCAGUUCUACUUAAGAUUACUCUAUCCAAUAUGUGAAAUAUACAUCACAAAAUACUUAUAUAUCUAUCCUUUUAUCAGCUGAUGCAUGCUAAUAUGUGUAAUAUGUAUCACGAACUUACCAUAUGUAAUAUGUACUUAGAUACUUAUAUAUCAAUAUACUCUAUGCAGCCAUAUGUAAUAUAGACAUCCCACA